rnacentral:rRNA from 1 species
CACCACAACAGGUGGAGCCUGCGGUUUAAUCGGACUCAAACGCCGGGAAACUCACCAGAUAAGACAGCUGAAUGAUAGUCGGGCUGAAGACUCUACUUGACUAGCUGAGAGGAGGUGCAUGGCCGUCGUCAGUUCGUACUGUGAAGCAUCCUGUUAAGUCAGGCAACGAGCGAGACCCACGCCAACAGUUGCCAGCUCGUCCUCCGGGAUGGUGGGGACACUGUUGGGACCGCCUCUGCUAAAGAGAGGAAGGAAUGGGCAACGGUAGGUCAGCAUGCCCCGAAUUAUCUGGGCUACACGCGGGCUACAAUGGGUGGGACAAUGGGUAUCGACACCGAAAGGUGAAGGCAAUCUCCUAAACCCAUCCGUAGUUCGGAUUGUGGGCUGCAACUCGCCCACAUGAAGCUGGAAUCUGUAGUAAUCGUGUCUCAAAAUGGCACGGUGAAUAUGUCCCUGCUCCUU